UACAGAGGUCUCAAGCGUUGUUCGGAUUCAUUGGGCGUAAAGGGUGCGUAGGCGGCGCGGUAAGUCGGGUGUGAAAUCUCGGGGCUUAACUCCGAAACUGCAUUCGAUACUGCCGUGCUUGAGGACUGGAGAGGAGACUGGAAUUUACGGUGUAGCGGUGAAAUGCGCAGAUAUCAGGAGGAAUACCCAUAGCGAAAGCAGCUCGCUGGGACGUUACUGACGCUGAGGCGCGAAAGCGUGGGGAGCGAACAGG
rnacentral:rRNA from 1 species